rnacentral:rRNA from 1 species
UACCCGCAGCACAAGUGGCGGUCAUUAUUAUUGGGCCUAAAGCGUCCGUAGCUGGCUUGUUAGAUGCCUGGGUAAAUCGAUGCGCUCAACGCAUCGAACUCCGGGUAGACCGGCAAGCUUGGGACCGGGAGAGGCGUGAGCUACUCGAGGGGUAGGGGUAAAAUCCUGUAAUCCUUCGGGGAGGACCAGUGGCGAAGGCGUCACGCUAGAACGGCUCCGACAGUGAGGGACGAAGCCCUGGGGCGCAAACCGG